rnacentral:rRNA from 1 species
AUUGAACGCUAGCGGGAUGCUUUACACAUGCAAGUCGAACGGCAGCGCGGACUUCGGUCUGGCGGCGAGUGGCGAACGGGUGAGUAAUGUAUCGGAACGUGCCCAGUAGCGGGGGAUAACUACGCGAAAGCGUAGCUAAUACCGCAUACGCCCUACGGGGGAAAGCAGGGGAUCGUAAGACCUUGCACUAUUGGAGCGGCCGAUAUCGGAUUAGCUAGUUGGUGAGGUAACGGCUCACAAAGGCGACGAUCCGUAGCUGGUUUGAGAGGACGACCAGCCACACUGGGACUGAGACACGGCCCAGACUCCUACGGGAGGCAGCAGUGGGGAAUUUUGGACAAUGGGGGCAACCCUGAUCCAGCCAUCCCGCGUGUGCGAUGAAGGCCUUCGGGUUGUAAAGCACUUUUGGCAGGAAAGAAACGUCGCGGGCUAAUACCCCGUGGAACUGACGGUACCUGCAGAAUAAGCACCGGCUAACUACGUG